ensembl:misc_RNA Y_RNA Y RNA
GGCUGGUCCGAAGGUAGUGAGUUAUCUCACUUGAUUGUUCACAGUCAGUUACAGAUUGAACUCCUUAUUAUACUACUUUCCCCCCUCCUCACUACUGCACUUGACUAGUCUUUU